GAUAAGAACGUAGCGAAAUGCGAUAAGUAAUGUGAAUUGCAGAAUUCAGUGAAUCAUCGAAUCUUUGAACGCACAUUGCGCCCCCUGGUAUUCCGGGGGGCAUGCCUGUUCGAGCGUCAUUACAACCCUCAAGCUCUGCUUGGUAUUGGGCCCCGCCAGUUCUGGCGGGCCCUAAAGUCAGUGGCGGUGCCUUCCGGCUCCGAGCGUAGUAAUUCUUCUCGCUCUGGAGACCCGGUUGUGUGCUUGCCAACAACCCCCAAUUUUUUAAGGUUGACCUCGGAUCAGGUAGGGAUACCCGCUGAACUUAAGCAUAUCAAUAAGCGGAGGA
rnacentral:misc_RNA from 1 species